GUGGGGAAUAUUGGACAAUGGGCGCAAGCCUGAUCCAGCCAUGCCGCGUGAGUGAUGAAGGCCUUAGGGUUGUAAAGCUCUUUCACCGAUGAAGAUAAUGACGGUAGUCGGAGAAGAAGCCCCGGCUAACUUCGUGCCAGCAGCCGCGGUAAUACGAAGGGGGCUAGCGUUGUUCGGAUUUACUGGGCGUAAAGCGCACGUAGGCGGUUUGUUAAGUCAGGGGUGAAAUCCUGGAGCUCAACUCCGGAACUGCCUUCGAUACUGGCGAUCUUGAGUCCGGAAGAGGUGAGUGGAACUCCUAGUGUAGAGGUGGAAUUCGUAGAUAUUAGGAAGAACACCAGUGGCGAAGGCGGCUCACUGGUCCGGUACUGACGCUGAGGUGCGAAAGCGUGGGGAGCAAACAGGAUUAGAAACCCUGGUAGUCC
rnacentral:rRNA from 1 species